rnacentral:tmRNA from 1 species
GGGGAUGACUUGGUUUCGACGGGAAUAAGAGAGCAUAGAUGGCAAGUCGGAAUGUCCACGUCACGGGCGAAAAAAAAUAAAUGCAAAUAAAAUUAAAAAUGCUAUAGUAACAUUGUUUGGCGCAAACCAAGCUGUUGCUUUUGCCUAAUAGAAUAAAUAAGGCUAGCUCUUCUUAAGGGUUCUCACCUAGGAGCCCUUUCGAGGAUCAUUUUGAUAGGUUAUAGCUAUCCUACGUCUAUAGGAUAGAAAGAAUUUUAAGACUAGUAUAGUAACUUGGUCGUUAACUACUUGGUUAUUAUGCGAAAUUAAUUAGUUAACUAAGCUUGUAGAGGUUUAUGUAGCUCUAUUUUCGGACAGGAGUUCGAUUCUCCUCAUCUCCACCA